GACGAACGCUGGCGGCGUGCUUAACACAUGCAAGUCGAACGGAAAGGCCCUGCUUUUGUGGGGUGCUCGAGUGGCGAACGGGUGAGUAACACGUGAGUAACCUGCCCUUGACUUUGGGAUAACUUCAGGAAACUGGGGCUAAUACCGGAUAGGAGCUCCUGCUGCAUGGUGGGGGUUGGAAAGUUUCGGCGGUUGGGGAUGGACUCGCGGCUGAUCAGCUUGUUGGUGGGGUAGUGGCUUACCAAGGCUUUGACGGGUAGCCGGCCUGAGAGGGUGACCGGCCACAUUGGGCCUGAGAUACGGGCCAGACUCCUACGGGAGGCAGCAGUGAGGAAUGUUGCACAAUGGGCGGAAGCCUGAUGCAGCAACGCCGCGUGCGGGAUGACGGCCUUCGGGUUGUAAACCGCUUUCGCCUGUGACGAAGCGUGAGUGACGGUAAUGGGUAAAGAAGCACCGGCUAACUACGUG
rnacentral:rRNA from 1 species